GGAAAUAUGGCUCAGGACGAACGCUGGCGGCGUGCCUAAUACAUGCAAGUCGAACGAACUCUGGUAUUGAUUGGUGCUUGCAUCAUGAUUUACAUUUGAGUGAGUGGCGAACUGGUGAGUAACACGUGGGAAACCUGCCCAGAAGCGGGGGAUAACACCUGGAAACAGAUGCUAAUACCGCAUAACAACUUGGACCGCAUGGUCCGAGUUUGAAAGAUGGCUUCGGCUAUCACUUUUGGAUGGUCCCGCGGCGUAUUAGCUAGAUGGUGAGGUAACGGCUCACCAUGGCAAUGAUACGUAGCCGACCUGAGAGGGUAAUCGGCCACAUUGGGACUGAGACACGGCCCAAACUCCUACGGGAGGCAGCAGUAGGGAAUCUUCCACAAUGGACGAAAGUCUGAUGGAGCAACGCCGCGUGAGUGAAGAAGGGUUUCGGCUCGUAAAACUCUGUUGUUAAAGAAGAACAUAUCUGAGAGUAACUGUUCAGGUAUUGACGGUAUUUAACCAGAAAGCCACGGCUAACUACGUGCCAGCAGCCGCGGUAAUACGUAGGUGGCAAGCGUUGUCCGGAUUUAUUGGGCGUAAAGCGAGCGCAGGCGGUUUUUUAAGUCUGAUGUGAAAGCCUUCGGCUCAACCGAAGAAGUGCAUCGGAAACUGGGAAACUUGAGUGCAGAAGAGGACAGUGGAACUCCAUGUGUAGCGGUGAAAUGCGUAGAUAUAUGGAAGAACACCAGUGGCGAAGGCGGCUGUCUGGUCUGUAACUGACGCUGAGGCUCGAAAGUAUGGGUAGCAAACAGGAUUAGAUACCCUGGUAGUCCAUACCGUAAACGAUGAAUGCUAAGUGUUGGAGGGUUUCCGCCCUUCAGUGCUGCAGCUAACGCAUUAAGCAUUCCGCCUGGGGAGUACGGCCGCAAGGCUGAAACUCAAAGGAAUUGACGGGGGCCCGCACAAGCGGUGGAGCAUGUGGUUUAAUUCGAAGCUACGCGAAGAACCUUACCAGGUCUUGACAUACUAUGCAAAUCUAAGAGAUUAGACGUUCCCUUCGGGGACAUGGAUACAGGUGGUGCAUGGUUGUCGUCAGCUCGUGUCGUGAGAUGUUGGGUUAAGUCCCGCAACGAGCGCAACCCUUAUUAUCAGUUGCCAGCAUUAAGUUGGGCACUCUGGUGAGACUGCCGGUGACAAACCGGAGGAAGGUGGGGAUGACGUCAAAUCAUCAUGCCCCUUAUGACCUGGGCUACACACGUGCUACAAUGGAUGGUACAACGAGUUGCGAACUCGCGAGAGUAAGCUAAUCUCUUAAAGCCAUUCUCAGUUCGGAUUGUAGGCUGCAACUCGCCUACAUGAAGUCGGAAUCGCUAGUAAUCGCGGAUCAGCAUGCCGCGGUUGAAUACGUUCCCCGGGCCUUGUACACACCGCCCGUCACACCAUGAGAGUUUGUAACACCCAAAGUCGGUGGGGUAACCUUUUAGGAACCAGCCGCCUAAGGUGGG
rnacentral:rRNA from 2 species